rnacentral:rRNA from 1 species
AUUGAACGCUGGCGGCAGGCCUAACACAUGCAAGUCGAACGAGUGGCGGACGGGUGAGUAAUGUCUGGGAAACUGCCUGAUGGAGGGGGAUAACUACUGGAAACGGUAGCUAAUACCGCAUACCAUCAGAUGUGCCCAGAUGGGAUGAGCUAGUUGGUGGGGUAACGGCUCACCAAGGCGACGAUCACUAGCUGGUCUGAGAGGAUGACCAGCCAAACGGGAACGGAGACACGGGCCAGCCGCCUACGGGAGGCAGCAGUGGGGAAUAUGGCACAAUGGGCGCAAGCUGGAUGCAGCAAUGCCGCGGGUUUGAAGAAGGCCUUCGGGUUGUAAAGUACUUUCAGCGGGGAGGCGUUACCCGCAGAAGAAGCACCGGCUAACUCCGUGCCAGCCGCCGCGGUAAUUC